rnacentral:rRNA from 1 species
UCUACGGGUGGCAGCAGUGGGGAAUAUUGGGCAAUGGACGAAAGUCUGACCCAGCAAUGCCGCGUGAAUGAAGGAGGUCUUCGGAUGGUAAACUUCUUUAGUCCGGGAAGAAGUCAAUGACGGUACCUGAAGACUAAGCUCCGGCUAACUACGUGACAGCAGCCGCGGUAAUACGUAGGGGGCAAGCGUUGUUCGGAAUGAUUGUGCUUAAAGGUUGCGUUGGGGGUUGGACAAGUUAGAAGUGAACUACCCCGGGGUUAAGGGGGGUGCUGCUACUGAGACGGUAUGACAUGAAUGCAGUAGAGGUGAGUGGAAUGCGUGGUGUAGCGGUGGAAUGCGUAGAUAUUAGGCGGAACACCAGAGGCGAAGGCGGCUAACGGGUCUGCAACUGACGCUGAGGCACGAAAGUGUGGGGAGCAAACAGGAUUAGAUACCCCGGUAGGC